CGCCGCCCGGGGCAGCCUGGGGACGCUGGGCUCAGGCCUCUCGACUCGCCUCAGCCGGCGGGGGAGCCUUCCCCUUCGCCCCCAAAGUUUCUGGCUCUUACGAGAGAGGCUCCCGCUGGACAAAGUUUUCCAAAGUUUUCCGAGUGUGAUGGUUGCGGGAAGAGCUAAUCCACCAGCUUGAUUCACGGCUUCAUCUCACCACCCUCGAGCAGUCCCCAAGCCCGCUAUAAGGGAACAAACAAACAAACAAACAAACAAAGUUACACUCCGAGUCUC